rnacentral:rRNA from 1 species
GAUGAACGCUGGCGGCGUGCUUAACACAUGCAAGUCGAACGGAAAGGCCCUGCUUUUGUGGGGUGCUCGAGUGGCGAACGGGUGAGUAACACGUGAGUAACCUGCCCUUGACUUUGGGAUAACUUCAGGAAACUGGGGCUAAUACUGGAUAGGAGCUCCUGCUGCAUGGUGGGGGUUGGAAAGUUUCGGCGGUUGGGGAUGGACUCGCGGCUUAUCAGCUUGUUGGUGGGGUAGUGGCUUACCAAGGCCUUGACGGGUAGCCGGCCUGAGAGGGUGACCGGCCACAUUGGGACUGAGAUACGGCCCAGACUCCUACGGGAGGCAGCAGUGGGGAAUAUUGCACAAUGGGCGGAAGCCUGAUGCAGCAACGCCGCGUGCGGGAUGACGGCCUUCGGGUUGUAAACCGCUUUCGCCUGUGACGAAGCGUGAGUGACGGUAAUUGGUAAAGAAGCACCGGCUAACUACGUG